GUGCCAGCAGCCGCGGUAAGACAGAGGGUGUUAACGUUGCUCGGAAUUACUGGGUGUAAAGCGCGUGCAGGUGGUUUCGUAAGUUCGGUGUGAAAGCCCCAGGCUCAACCUGGGAAGUGCACUGAAUACUGCGAGACUUGAGUUCUGAAGAGGAGAGUGGAAUUCCCGGUGUAGAGGUGAAAUUCGUAGAUAUCGGGAGGAACACCAGUGGCGCAAGCGACUCUCUGGGCAGAAACUGACACUAAAACGCGAAAGCGUGGGGAGCAAACAGGAUUAGAAACCCGUGUAGUCC
rnacentral:rRNA from 1 species